rnacentral:rRNA from 1 species
ACAUGCUAUCAUUCCAACACAAUGCAUUAGUUUUCAUAAGAAUUUUACAGUUAAGCGUAUUUGAAUGAAAGUAGUACUAAGUUGAGUGAUUAUUUAGAAAAUUCUUGUAUUGCACUCU